rnacentral:tRNA from 1 species
GCGUGCAUCGUAUAAUGGCUAUUACCUCAGCCUUCCAAGCUGAUGAUGCGGGUUCCCGCUGCACGCU